rnacentral:rRNA from 1 species
UACAGAGGGUGCAAGCGUUGUUCGGAAUUAUUGGGCGUAAAGGGAGUGUAGGCGGCUUGUUAAGUCUUCUGUGAAAACUCGAGGCUCAACCUCGAGACGCCGAUGGAAACCCUCAGACUAGAGUCCGGAAGAGGAGAGUGGAAUUCCUGGUGUAGCGGUGAAAUGCGCAGAUAUCAGGAAGAACACCCGUGGCUAAGGCGGCUCUCUAGUACGGUACUGACGCUGAGACGCGAAAGCGUGGGGAGCGAACAGG